rnacentral:rRNA from 1 species
AGAAUCAACGCUGGCGGCGUGCCUAACACAUGCAAGUCGAACGAGAAAGUGGAGCAAUCCAUGAGUAAAGUGGCGCACGGGUGAGUAACACGUGACUAACCUACCCUUGAGUGGGGGAUAACCUAGAGAAAUCUGGGCUAAUACCGCAUAAUACCUUCGGGUCAAAGGAGCAGUUCGCUUAAGGAGGGGGUCGCGGCCGAUUAGUUAGUUGGCGGGGUAAUGGCCCACCAAGACUAUGAUCGGUA